rnacentral:lncRNA from 1 species
CUCUAUCCUACUAUCAGAUGUAGCUACUCACUUCACGUCUAAGAUAUAUAAACAUACUCACUUCACGUCUAAGAUAUAUAAACACUUUCAUACAUAUUUCUGCUCUCUUCCAACAGAAAAUACAAACUCUAUAGUUAUAUCAUUCAUAUUAGAUUGGAAAAAGUACGAAAUACCCCCUGAAUUACCGCGGUCAGCUGAAUUACUCUCCUAAACCUGAAAAACCAGACAUCUUUACUGGACUUUCAACACCGAGCAAAUUACCCCUCUUGACCAAAACGAUUUUGUCAUACGUGACGUAGACGUGACGUCCAGUCAACAUUUUAUUUUUUUAAUGAUGGCCCACCUAUCAUAACCCCUCUCUCUCUGGCGAAC